CACGUCAGCGUGCUAUGCUGACGUGGACACAAAUUGCGUUCUUAAGGCUGCGCUUUGUUGCCACGCAAGCAAAGCGCACUGACGUGG
rfam:Gossypium hirsutum cultivar TM-1 chromosome 7, whole genome shotgun sequence